CAUAAUGUUAUACUGGAGAGCAGGAAGAGCUGUGUUGGGUAUAAGUAACAGGCUUUUCUUUAUCUUCUGUGUGACUCUUUGCA
ensembl:miRNA